rnacentral:lncRNA from 1 species
AUUGUCGUUGUUGUUGUUUUUGUUGUUGUUAUUGUUAUUGUCGUUGUUGUCAUUGUUCUCGUCAUAGUUGUUCUUGUCGUCGUUUUUGUCGUCUUCGUCGUCGUCGUUGUUUUCGUCAUCGUUGUCGUCGACGUCGUCGUCAUCGUUCUCGUCGUCGUCGUCGUCGUCGUUGUUGUUGUUGUUGUUGUUAUUGUUGUUGUUGUUGUUGUUGCUGUUGUUGUCGUCAUUUUCAUCGUCGUGGUUGUCGUUGAUGUCGUUGUUGUUGUUAUUGUCGUUGAUGUCGCAGUUGUCAUUAUUGUCGUCGUCGUUGUUGUUGUUGUUGCUGUUGUUGUU